AACGAACGCUGGCGGCAGGCCUAACACAUGCAAGUCGAGCGAGGACUUCGGUUCUAGCGGCGGACGGGUGAGUAACGCGUGGGAAUGUGCCCUUCUCUACGGAAUAGCCCUGGGAAACUUGGAGUAAUACCGUAUACGCCCUAUUGGGGAAAGAUUUAUCGGAGAAGGAUCAGCCCGCGUUGGAUUAGGUAGUUGGUGGGGUAAUGGCCUACCAAGCCGACGAUCCAUAGCUGGUUUGAGAGGAUGAUCACCCACACUGGGACUGAGACACGGCCCAGACUCCUACGGGAGGCAGCAGUGGGGAAUCUUAGACAAUGGGGGCAACCCUGAUCUAGCCAUGCCGCGUGAGUGAUGAAGGCCUUAGGGUUGUAAAGCUCUUUCAGCUGGGAAGAUAAUGACGGUACCAGCAGAAGAAGCCCCGGCUAACUCCGUG
rnacentral:rRNA from 1 species